rnacentral:rRNA from 1 species
GACGAACGCUGGCGGCGUGCUUAACACAUGCAAGUCGAACGAUGAAGCCGGAGCUUGCUCUGGUGAAUUAGUGGCGAACGGGUGAGUAACACGUGAGUAACCUGCCCUUGACUCUGGGGUAACUGCGGGAAACUGUAGCUAAUACCGGAUACGACCCUCGGAGGCAUCUCCUGGGGGGGGAAAGAAUUUCGGCCAAGGAUGGACUCGCGGCCUAUCAGCUAGUUGGUGAGGUAAAGGCUCACCAAGGCGACGCACGGUAGCGGGCCUGAGAGGGUCACCGGCGACACUGGGACAGAGAUACGGCCCAGACUCCUACGGGAGGCAGCAGUGGGGAAUAUUGCACAAUGGGCGCAAGCCUGAUUCAGCAACGCCGCGUGAGGGAUGACGGCCUUCGGGUUGUAAACCUCUUUUAGCAGGGAAGAAGCGAAAGUGACGGUACCUGCAGAAAAAGCACCGGCUAACUACGUGCCAGCCGCCGCGGUAA